UACGGGUCCUACUCCUACGGGAGGCMGCAGUGCGGAAUUUUAGAUAAUGGAGGCAACUCUGAUCUAGCGACGCCGCGUGCAGGAAGAAGGUCUUCGGAUUGUAAACUGCUGUGGUAAGGGAAAAAUGYCAUGUAGAGUGGAAAGCUACAUGGAGGGAUGGUACYUUACUAGAAAGCCCCGGCUAACUACGUGCCAGCAGCCGCGGUAAUACGUAGGGGGCRAGCGUUACCCGGAAUCACUGGGCGUAAAGGGAGCGUAGGUGGCCUGACAUGUCRACUGUGAAAACCCGGAGCUCAACUCCGGACUUGCAGUUGAAACUGCCAGGCUUGAGGACGGUAGAGGAAGACGGAACUGCCAGUGUAGGGGUAAAAUCCUUAGAUAUUGGCAGGAACGCCGGUGACGAAGGUGGUUUUCUGGGCCGGUUCUGACACUGAUGCUCGAAAGCCAGGGGAGCGAACGGGAUUARAUACCCCGGUAGUC
rnacentral:rRNA from 1 species